rnacentral:rRNA from 1 species
GAUGAACGCUGGCGGCGCGCCUAACACAUGCAAGUCGAACGAUUAAAGCACCUUCGGGUGUGUAUAAAGUGGCGAACGGCUGAGUAACACGUGGGCAACCUGCCCCUUUCAUUGGGAUAGCCACGGGAAACCGUGGAUAAUACCGAAUACUUCGAGACUUCCGCAUGGAAGACUCGAGAAAGCUCCGGCGGAGUGGGAUGGGCCCGCGGCCUGUUAGCUUGUUGGUGGGGUAACGGCCUACCAAGGCAAUGAUGGGUAGCUGGGUUGAGAGACCGACCAGCCAGAUUGGGACUGAGACACGGCCCAGACUCCUACGGGAGGCAGCGGUGGGGAAUCUUGCACAAUGGGCGAAAGCCUGAUGCAGCGACGCCGCGUGCGGGAUGAAGGCCUUCGGGUUGUAAACCGCUUUCAGCAGGGACGAGGCGAAAGUGACGGUACCUGCAGAAGAAGCCCCGGCUAACUACGUG